rnacentral:rRNA from 1 species
AUCGGAAUUACUGGGCGUAAAGGGUGCGUAGGUGGUUCAUUAAGUUAGGUGUGAAAGCCCCGGGCUUAACCUGGGAAUUGCGCCUAAUACUGUUGAGCUAGAGUACUGUAGAGGAAGGUGGAAUUUCCGGUGUAGCGGUGAAAUGCGUAGAUAUCGGAAGGAACAUCAGUGGCGAAGGCGACUUUCUGGACAGAUACUGACACUGAGGCACGAAAGCAUGGGGAGCAAACAGG